CGCACUCAGAAGCGAGUUGGUGAAGCCAUAAGUGUGUGUACGGCUUCAUGGGAAUCCGGUGCAAAACCGGAACUGGCGCGCAGCGGUGAGUGGGGACUGACCCCUGAACAAGUCCACUGGCUACUCCAAGCUGGGAAGGCAUAGGGGGCUCCGGGAUGAUCCACAAGUCCGAAGACCGACCAACUCUGACCAUCAUUG
rnacentral:ncRNA from 2 species